GUGCUCGCUUUGGCAGCACAUAUACUGAAAUUGGAACGACACAAAGAAGAUUAGCAUGGCCCCUGCACAAGGAUGACAUGCAAAUUUGUGAAUUGUCCCAUAAAAAA